UACGAAGGGGGCUAGCGUUGCUCGGAAUCACUGGGCGUAAAGCGCACGUAGGCGGAUUGUUAAGUCAGGGGUGAAAUCCUGGAGCUCAACUCCAGAACUGCCUUUGAUACUGGCGAUCUUGAGUCCGGGAGAGGUGAGUGGAACUGCGAGUGUAGAGGUGAAAUUCGUAGAUAUUCGCAAGAACACCAGUGGCGAAGGCGGCUCACUGGCCCGGUACUGACGCUGAGGCGCGAAAGUGUGGGGAGCGAACAGG
rnacentral:rRNA from 1 species